rnacentral:rRNA from 1 species
GGAGGUUACUGCUAUCGGUGUUCGCCUAACCCAUGCGAGUCAUAUGUUCUUCGUGAACAUGGCGUACUGCUCAGUAACACGUGAAUAACCUGCCCUUGGGACCGGCAUAACCCCGGGAAACUGGGGAUAAUUCCGGAUACCGCAUAUAUGCUGGAAUGCUUUAUGCGUGAAAUGGAUUCGUCUGCCCAAGGAUGGAUCUGCGGCCUAUCAGGUAGUAGUGGGUGUAAUGUACCUACUACCCUACAACGGGUACGGGUUGUGAAAGCAAAAGCCCGGAAAUGGAUUCUGAAACAUGAAUCCAGGCCCUACGGGGCGCACCAGGCGCGAAAACUUUACAAUGCGGGAAACCGUGAUAAGGGGACACCGAGUGCCAGCAACAUUUGUUGGCUGUCCAGGUGUGUAAACUACACCUGUUAGCAAGGGCCGGGCAAGACCGGUGC